AAAGAACACUCUCUCAGUGAGACACUCUUCUGUCAGACUAUCAUGGAGCAGUCAGAAGUACUGGAAACUUCCUUAAUCACUCAUCUGUGUGUCUACACUGACCCAAUGGGUACUACUGGGAGAAUCUGAAAGAACGGCAUCAUGUGGAAUGGCCAAAAGAACAGUACGUCAGCCCGUCUAGAAGGAAAACAUUUUAAACAAAUAUUUCCCAACAACCUGCUGAGAUUCCUGCUGCAUGGUAAGUAAUACUGAACCACAUCAACUGGAUUUUGAAGGCAUCCUCUGCUGGCGACCUGUGCACAGCUGCAUCUCUAGAAUAGCUUCAUGUCCAAGGCGGUAAUAUCCGUCAGGUAUUAAACAUGCAAAGCUUGUGUGUUGCAUACCUCCCACCUGCUGCAAAGAUUAUUAACAACACCAGUGAACUACAUGUAAUGAAGAUUCACUUGCAUAAGAGAGAAGACUUACAUUCUAUCACAGCCUUGGACAGGGCCUAAUUACAGACCCCUGUAAACACAAGAUAGCUGAUGAGUGAAAGUUUAGGACAAAAGACAAGACUCAACUUCUAUAAUUUAUGAAAUAGGGCUGGGAAGCCAU
rnacentral:lncRNA from 1 species